rnacentral:rRNA from 1 species
GGCUUCACCGAGUGGUCCGUCGCUUCGGCGGCGAGUACUGCUUCUCAGGUGAAGCCUUUCCUCCUGGGGAACCUUGUUGACGGGGUGGCUCUCGGGCCCUCCGUUCUUGGCGAGCCAGGACGUUUACCUUGAAAAAAUUAGAGUGUUCAAAGCAGGCGCACGCUUGCAUAGAUUAGCAUGGAAUAAUGGAAUAGGACCUGUGGUCUUGUUUUGUUGGUUAGGGAGACCGCGGUAAUGAUUAAUAGGGAUAGUUG